rnacentral:rRNA from 1 species
ACGGGGGGGGCAAGCGUUGUUCGGAAUUACUGGGCGUAAAGGGCGUGUAGGCGGCCUGUUAAGUUAGGGGUGAAACUCCGGGGCUCAACCCCGGGCGUGCCUCUGAAACUGAUGGGCUUGAGUGCUCUAGAGGGCAGUGGAAUUCCCGGUGUAGCAGUGAAAUGCGUAGAGAUCGGGAGGAACACCAGUGGCGAAGGCGGCUGCCUGGGGAGUAACUGACGCUGAGGCGCGAAAGCUAGGGGAGCAAACAGGA